UCCAUCUCUUAUAAAAAGAUAAGAUCUGUCAGCUACUUAGGAGGCUGAGAUGGGAGGAUCACUUGAGCCCAGGACUUCUGGGCUAUAGUGCUCUAAGUUCAGCAUCAAGAUGGUGACCUCCUGGGAACGGGGGACCUCCAGGUUGUCCAAACAGGUGUGAACCGGCCCAGGGUGGAAAUGGAGCAGGUCAAAACUCCUGUGCUGAUCAGUAGUGAGACCAUGACCUGUGAACAGCCACUGCACUCCAGCCUGGGCAACAUAGUGUGACCCUGUUCU
rnacentral:SRP_RNA from 1 species